CGUUCCCUUAGCAGAGAUGCAGUAUCAGGGUGCUUUUUCUGCUGUUUACCUUCGGAGCAGACGGUUCUUGUUCUUCUGGUUCCGUGCAGAGCAGCACACUCUGUCUGCUGGGACACUGGAGUGGUUUCUCUGGGAAGUCUAGUCAUGUUAAAGCACUGCCUAUUUUGGUUCACUUUUGGACUAACUUUUACUGGAAAACCUUUUUGGAUAAAAGGUGUAUCUUCUGAACAGACACCCAGACUUUCCACAUUAGAAAUAAUCAUUCCUCGAAGUCUGACAGGCAGAGAGAAACAUCACCCAUUUUUUCAUGAGGAGCAUUCAGAUGACAACCUUUCUUACUCAGUGA
rnacentral:lncRNA from 1 species